UUGAUCCUUCGAUGUCGGCUC
rnacentral:ncRNA from 3 species